AUUGAACGCUGGCGGCAGGCCUAACACAUGCAAGUCGAACGGUAACAGGAAGCAGCUUGCUGCUUUGCUGACGAGUGGCGGACGGGUGAGUAAUGUCUGGGAAACUGCCUGAUGGAGGGGGAUAACUACUGGAAACGGUAGCUAAUACCGCAUAACGUCGCAAGACCAAGAGGGGGACCUUAGGGCCUCUUGCCAUCGGAUGUGCCCAGAUGGGAUUAGCUAGUAGGUGGGGUAACGGCUCACCUAGGCGACGAUCCCUAGCUGGUCUGAGAGGAUGACCAGCCACACUGGAACUGAGACACGGUCCAGACUCCUACGGGAGGCAGCAGUGGGGAAUAUUGCACAAUGGGCGCAAGCCUGAUGCAGCCAUGCCGCGUGUAUGAAGAAGGCCUUCGGGUUGUAAAGUACUUUCAGCGGGGAGGAAGGGAGUAAAGUUAAUACCUUUGCUCAUUGACGUUACCCGCAGAAGAAGCACCGGCUAACUCCGUG
rnacentral:rRNA from 1 species